rnacentral:rRNA from 1 species
AAUCGAACCCGGAGAUAGCUGGUUCUCCUCGAAAUAGCUUUAGGGCUAGCCUCAUGAGAGUCUUAUGGAGGUAGAGCACUGAAUUGCCUAGGGGGCGUCAAAGCUUACCAAAGCAUAUCAAACUCCGAAUGCCAUCAAGAUGAUUCAUGGGAGUCAGACCAUACGAGAUAAGUUGGAUGGUCAAAAGGGAAAGAGCCCAGACCUACAGCUAAGGUCCCAAAGUACGUGUUAAGUGGAAAAGGAUGUGGGGAUUCUAAGACAACUAGGACGUUGGCUUAGAAGCAGCCAUUCAUUGAAAGAGUGCGUAAUAGCUCACUAGUCGAGAGUCCCUGCGCCGAAAAUGUCCGGGGCUGAAACACGACACCGAAGCUUAGGAAUGUGUAAACAUUGGUAGAGGAGCAUUGCUAGCGGGAUGAAGCCAUACCGUAAGGAGUGGUGGACUGCUAGGAAGAGAGAAUGCCGGAAUGAGUAGCGAGAUGAAGGUGAGAAUCCUUCAGGCCGAAUAUCUAAGGUUUCCAGAGUAAAGCUGAUCUGCUCUGGGUAAGUCGGGACCUAAGGCGAGGUCGAAAGACGUAGUCGAUGGAUAACAGGUUGAAAUUCCUGUACCGCAUAUAAACAGAACUGUGGGGACACAGACAGGGAAUGGAAUCCGGGAAUGGAUAUCCCGGUGCAAGCGAGGUAGGAGUGCUGUUGGCAAAUCCGCAGCACGAUCUGAAGACGUGACGCGUACCGAACAUAAGUAGGGAAGUCCAGGCCCCUGGCUGUCAAGAAAAGCCGCUAUCGUUUUAUAUGUGCCCGUACCGCAAACCGACACAGGUGGAUGAGGAGAGAAUCCUAAGGCCGACGGGAGAAGUAUUGUUAAGGAACUCGGCAAAAUGACUCCGUAACUUCGGGAGAAGGAGUGCCAUGAAAGUGGCCGCAGAGAAAUGGCCCAAGCAACUGUUUAGCAAAAACACAGGUCUAUGCAAAACCGCAAGGUGAAGUAUAUGGGCUGACGCCUGCCCGGUGCUGGAAGGUUAAGGGGAGAGGUUAGCGCAAGCGAAGCUUUGAACUUAAGCCCCAGUAAACGGCGGCCGUAACUAUAACGGUCCUAAGGUAGCGAAAUUCCUUGUCGGGU